rnacentral:sRNA from 1 species
GCUGGGUGUGGUGGUGCAAGCCUGUAAUUCCAGCAGCUCGGGAGGCUGAGACAGGAGGGUCAUGAGUUCAAAGCCAGCCUCAGCAAAAGCCAGGCACUAAGCAACUCAGUGAGACCCUGUCUCUA